AGCAUCAGCGGAAUGGCUGAUGGGAAUGGGUUUGCCUGUUGGCAUGGGAGAGCCUGACCUUACGGCUGAGAUGUCGUUAUGGUGCCAGGACAGAGAGGGUGAAAACUUGGAAAGCAGUGCCGGUGCAAUUUUUUUUCCUUCCUUUCUGUGCGCUUGUGGAGAAAAUGGCGGAACACUGCACUGACUUUGUUCGGACUCGGUGAAAGGAACUAAAUGCCGAAAUGCAACCUGGCCUUUUAUUUUGGCCCUUUCUUUCCUCUCUUUUGACAAUACACCAGGAUUUUGUCCGUUUCUGUGGCUGACAUAUUUUGCUGCUGGUCUGCUGACAUUAAAGUACGUUUAGGAUGGGAGGAACAUGCUGUAUGACGUGUACACAACUCUGCACCACUGUAUGUCAGACUACAAGGUGCCUUACAGCUUGCUGCCUCCAUGUGUGGUAAGAUAACUUACCCAUGUCUCACGUCUGCUGAAAACAAAGUGUUUGGUUACUAAAUUCUUUAUAUAGUUUUUAAAUAUAUUAGUUCAAUGUUUUACAGUUUUUUACAAUUGCUGACAAGCAUUUUUUGAUACCGAGUUUACACUUUCAGAACUCAACAGUACUCUAUGUGGACCAAAUUGUGAAUCGUUUUUUAGUGCUUUGACAUAAAUGCAUUCAAUGGACACAGUUUUCAAAAAUCUUGAAUUCAUUUCUCAAUUAGUUUCAACCACCAAAAAAACUGUAGAUUUCUACAUCUCAAAUGUUUGCACACACUAUUUCAAAACUCAUGCACUCUAAUCUAACAUAGGCAUAAGUGGAUAGCAAUUGCUAAGCCAUAAAUACUAUAUUGGAAAAAAGUUUUCAUAAUAUUUAUAGAAACAAAGUUUCUAUUCAAUCAAAGCUGAUUGAAGUUGAUGCAAAUUGUGCUUCUGAUUGUGAAUUGGUUAUUGAACAGAACAAUCACACCUGAUUGAGUUGAAGACCUACCCAUGGAAUUUCAUCUUUGGAAUGAUUUUGUUCAAGAUUAACCCAGGAAGAAAUACAAAAGUGGGUGAAAAAGGAAGACAAAUGGCUAGAUGAUGUAGGGGAGAAGGAGAGGAGCAUAUCAGCAGAUAAUUGCCAGGGAUGGAUCAGGCAUGCAUGGACGUAUGGUGUAAUGUUAAUGAGAACAUGUGGCUAAAAAAAGUAGACUGGGUCGAUCAGUAUUACUGUACCUGUGAAUAUUUUUUUCACUAUAAACUACAUCCAUGUUUGGAAAUAAAACCUUUACUGCAGCAUUUGUAUGCCUUGUCCAUACUGUAAAGAAUCUAUUGCAGAUGCCAUACUGAUUUGUAAUGGAAAGUUUCUUAAAAAAACAAACAAACAAUGAAUCACUAUGAAACAAAGAACAAAGUAAUAAAAUAAAAACCAUGCCACCAGUUACUGUUUUUUAGAUCAUUGACAAUGUAUUCUUCUUGGAAGGUGUUUUUGUGAAUUAAAUCAUUUUGAGAUAUGUUUGCAGAGUUUUGGUAGUUUUGGUGCAUUGUUGUGUAAAAAAUGGUAAGCAGUGUUUUUAAAAUGGGGAUUGAUUGUUGAUGUUACAGUUCUCUAUCCAACCAGACUCUGCGUUUCCCGUCACUACUAUAAAUAUUCAGGACUUAAGAGCAGGGCCAGUCAGCAGUAUAUAAUUUACUUUUGUCAGCAGGAAACAUUAGUUUACUACGAAAUGUCUAAAAACCGGCAGAAGUCACUGAUUUUACAACGCGCAGCACUACAUUGUGCAAUUAGCUCCGAGUCAUUUGGGUAGCUUGAAAAGAGAUGCCCACGGUGCCCAGCAGGAGUGUAUGACCUUUUAGUAAUCUGUUCCCACUGCAGUUACUUAAAUAGUGAUGCAUGUUUCCCCCUCCCGUUCCUCCCAGAGCAGAGAGGAGAGAGGGCUGGGGCAGAGCCCCUGUCCCUGCAGCAGUGGGGCCCGGUGUUUCCCUGUUCUCAGCGUUAAUGCUAAGCACAGCACAGCACAGCAGGUACGUAUGAGUGGGUGGAGGCACAAGGCAGGUACUAUCUGCCUGAGUGGGUGGGGGGGCAUGGUGUCCCAGAAAGCAGCAGGGACCCUGUAUCCACCCCGCCCCCCCCCCCCCCUCUCUCUCUCUCCUACAUUCUCUCUCUAUCUCUCCCCCAUUCUCUGCCUCCCCUCUCUCCUUCCCUCCCCAAGACCCCCCCCACCCAAAAACACAUGCACACACAUUGUCCCUGUCACAGACAGACCCCCACAUACACAGAUAACACACACAGACACACAAUCCAAACAUCAUCCCUCAUCACUACCCAGGUACACACACCGCAGACCAACAAGGCAGAUACCCGACAUACAUAGUGUAGUCCCUGUCACAGACAGACCCCCACAUACACACAUCACACACAGAUGCACACACACACACGCAAAGAAACAAACAAACAUCUAAUCCCCACAGAUGUAUGUGCACCACAGAUCAAAAAACCAGACGCAGACAUCUAAAUAAUAGAGACCAGACAAAACACAAUAGAAAUGAUGCAUUGUUAUUUUCAUUCAGAAAUUGGGUUUGGAGGGAAGAUAUUUUGAUAUACCUGUAUUUGCAUAUUUAUAGCUUAUAUUGAUUUUCUAAGCUAUGCAGCAAUGCUUGUGUCAAUACCUAAGUGCUUUUCAAUUUUUCUACAUUUUAAAAUUUUAGAAGAAAUUGCAAAGAUUAUAGCAUUUUGUUUCACUGAUUCUAGUCUUGGAGGUUCUCUGUAAUGGCACAUGAAUUAAAUAAACAUUUUUACUUUUAAAA